UGCCUAGCCGUAAAACAUUAACUUACACCAUAAUCGCCAGGGAAUUACGAGCCCAAACUUAAAACCCAAAGGACUUGACGGUGUCCCACCCACCUAGAGGAGCCUGUUCUAUAAUCGAUUCCCCCCGAUAAACCCAACCACUUCUUGCCUUUCAGCCUGUAUACCUCCGUCGCAAGCUUACCAUAUGAACGACCCCAGUGAGCUAAAUGACCCUACAUCAACACGUCAGGUCAAGGUGCAGCUUACGAAGUGGAAAGAAAUGGGCUACAAUUUCUAAAAUAGAACAAACGAACAGCCACAUGAAAUAUGGCUAUGAAGGCGGAUUUAGUAGUAAAGAGAGAAUAGAGAGCUCUUUUUAACAAGGCACUGGGACGAGU
rnacentral:rRNA from 1 species